CGGGGCGUAGCUCAGCCUGGUUAGAGUGCUUGGUUCGGGACCAAGAGGUCGGAGGUUCGAAUCCUCUCGCCCCGAC
rnacentral:tRNA from 1 species